GACGAACGCUGGCGGCGUGCUUAACACAUGCAAGUCGAACGGAAAGGCCCUGCUUUUGUGGGGUGCUCGAGUGGCGAACGGGUGAGUAACACGUGAGUAACCUGCCCUUGACUUUGGGAUAACUUCAGGAAACUGGGGCUAAUACCGGAUAGGAGCUCCUGCUGCAUGGUGGGGGUUGGAAAGUUUCGGCGGUUGGGGAUGGACUCGCGGCUUAUCAGCUUGUUGGUGGGGUAGUGGCUUACCAAGGCUUUGACGGGUAGCCGGCCUGAGAGGGUGACCGGCCACAAUGGGACUGAGAUACGGCCCAGAAUCCUACGGGAGGCAGCAGUGGGGAAUAUUGCACAAUGGGCGGAAGCCUGAUGCAGCAACGCCGCGUGCGGGAUGACGGCCUUCGGGUUGUAAACCGCUUUCGCCUGUGACGAAGCGUGAGUGACGGUAAUGGGUAAAGAAGCACCGGCUAACUACGUG
rnacentral:rRNA from 1 species